rnacentral:rRNA from 1 species
UACGUAGGGGGCAAGCGUUGUCCGGAUUUAUUGGGCGUAAAGAGCGUGUAGGCGGCCAGGUAGGUCAGCUGUGAAAACUCGAGGCUCAACCUCGAGACGCCGGUUGAAACCAUCUGGCUAGAGUCCGGAAGAGGAGAGUGGAAUUCCUGGUGUAGCGGUGAAAUGCGCAGAUAUGUGGAGGAACACCGAUGGCGAAGGCAGCCCCCUGGGCUAACACUGACGCUCAUGCACGAAAGCGUGGGGAGCAAACAGG